GAGGCGAAUUGGCUGCCCGGGGUGCAGGAUGGACAGGUGGUGCGGGCUGUCCAGGAAACCUACCUGAACGGGAAGGAGCCCCAGGAGGGAGAGGGACCCGGCGAGGGGCUCAGGACCCGGAGGCGCCGGCGGAGGAGGAGGUGGUGACUGGCAGGCCCGGGCCCCACGGUACCUCCGGGGCUGAAGGGGACGCAGGACGUAGGGGCAUGGGGAGUCGGGCGCAGAAGAGUGCGGGGAACCGGUGAGCUCUGGGAGCCACUGCCUGAGGGCAGGCCGCGGCCGGCGGGAACCUCUUCUGCCAUCUCAGCCUGGGCGUCGCUGAAGCUGUGUCUGCGGGGAGGCAGCGGAAGGCGGCAGCCUCCUCCCCAGACCAGUGUGAUGUCA
rnacentral:lncRNA from 1 species